CUUUCUCAGGACCAACAAGCGACAGAUGAGGUCCUAGAUCCGGUGAUAGAUAGUGUCAAAUUCGAAAGUUGAUCGAAUAUUCUUAUUGUUUGAGUUCUAGAAUAUCCAUACAUGCUUAGUAUCUAUAUCAUUAUAAUCAUGAUUGUCUGAAUAGAAACCCUAAGUCUAACACUUUCCAUAUCUGUCUUAAAACCCCCAAUCAAUCA
rnacentral:lncRNA from 1 species